UUGUGGUUUUAAUGAAGGUUCAGUUUAAAAUGUGAUAGUCAAAAGAACCAAUUUAGCUGCUUCCUUUGACGAAUGACAGCAGUCUAAUCAUUGCUUGCUUAAUUGGCUCUGCAAUUUCCUAAUUAGCAUAGGAUUGGUCAGAGCCUGAUGUGAUAGCUUACCCUCUGGCUCUUAAAUUCUAGCUUUUUCUUUAUUAAUCAAAAGGAAAAUAAUCAUGCAUGUUAAAAUCAUUAAAGAAGAAUUCUUUUAUCAAACUUUAGGCUUCUGAAGUUAGGAGACAUCUUCUCUUGUAAAUUAUGUUCUAGACUUGUUAAUUUUUAAGUGAGUGAACUAAUCUUUGGUGGAAAAUAGGUAAGGGAUUAAUAAAUAGAAGUUGGUAAAUAUUAAAGGAAUAUGGUUCAGAAUGGAGUUAGGUACCAAGUAAUCCUACUGAAUUAACCUAAAACAUAAAGCCAUCUUUGAUUUUCCCAAGGAAAAGAUCCAGAAGGAAGUUUUUUCACUAACUUUACCAUAUUAACAUCUAAUUGUGUGUAUAUAAUUGUAAAUACUAUUUAAAAGGUAAACUGAAACACAUUACGAUUUUUAAAAAUGUAUUGCAGCUAAUGAUGCUUCAUGAACUGGGCAGUUCCGAACCAGAAGUCAUCUGAGAACUCCACCAAGGAAAUGCAACAGGGAAACUUUUACAAUACUAUCAUUGAGGUGUAUGCUACAUUCACUCACACUCUACUGGACAAAUCAAAUGACAUGGCUAAGCCCAACAUCAACAUCAAUGGGACAGAGAGUUUAUUUCCUGUCUAUGAGAAAGCAUGGCAAAGCAUUACAGGUGUGGCCUAGAAGACUCUCCCAUGUAUGGCACUUCCCAGGGCAACUUUGGAAACAGAAUGCUGAAGAAACAAUGCAUCCCUAAGCAUUUCUCUAAAUAAUGGUAUGGACACAUGACACCCCCAUCGCAUAUCAAGUGCCAUCCCUCAACUGACCUGGCAUUGUAUUGUUAUGUUAUAAAUGUCUAUUGUUUGAACUACCAUACUUUUGGGGGUUUGUUUUGCAAAUGAUUUCUUACAUUAAAUAAUAUUAUGU